rnacentral:lncRNA from 1 species
CUGGUCUGCCUGCGGAUAUGGAGCUCUGCCCUGUUCACCAGACUUGCUACGUUGACUUUAUACCUUGUAAAUUAAAAAAGGAAAUAGUAACACUACAUAACAAUAAUUACGCUAUAAGGAGUACCAGUACUGAGUCAAUGUGCAGGGGUACCAGGUAGUUGAGGUAUUAAUGAGACUAUAAGGAGUACCAGUACUGAGUCAAUGUGCAGGGGUACCAGGUAGUUGAGGUAAUAAUGAGACUAUAAGGAGUACCAGUACUGAGUCAAUGUGCAGGGGUACCAGGUAGUUGAGGUAAUAAUGAGACUAUAAGGAGUACCAGUACUGAGUCAAUGUGCAGGGGUACCAGGUAGUUGAGGUAAUUGAGGGAAUAUCCACAUGUAGGUAGGGGUAAAAGUGACUAGGCAAUCAGGAUAGAUAGGGGCGGAAGGGUAGCCUAGUGGUUAGAGUGUUGAGCUAGUAACUGAAAGGUUGCA